rnacentral:misc_RNA from 1 species
CAGUUGCAAAACUCCCUAAACCAUUGUGAACGUUACCUAAACCGUUGCUUCGGCGGGCGGCCCGGGUCUCUCCCGGCGCCCCUGGGCCCUCGCGGGCGCCCGCCGGAGGUAAACCAAACCAUUGCAUUGUAUGGCCUCUCUGAGUCUUCUGUACUGAAUAAGUCA